ACGCCGUCAGUGAAGUAGCAGAAGGGAGCGAGGGUGUCCCCCUGAAAUUGGCCCCGCUACGGCGGCGAGGAGCGCUGGCCGGGCACGCACCCCGCCGGUCUGCGCUGGGAUGAUGCUGGAGCAGGACACCGGCCUCUCCUUGGCCAUCGCGCAGAUCGUGCAGCGGCUGAAGGGCUCCAGCCUUCAUUCCCAGCUGGAGCGGCAGGCCCGGGGUAGUCUACACAAACCAGAAAUUAAACUUGAAUCACUAAAGGAAGAUAUUAAGGAAUUUCUGAAGACCUCAGGAUGGGAAAAGAGGCUUCAGAAUGCUGUUUAUAGUGAACUCAAUGUGUUCCCUUCACCCUGUCAUCCUGCAGCACCCCCUGAGCACAUAAAGGAACCCUUAGUUUACAUGAGGAAAGCACAGGGAAGCUGGGAGAAGCGAAUUCUGAAGAGUCUAAAUAGCAUGUGCACAGAACUCAGUAUCCCAUUAGCACGAAAGAGACCUAUAGGAGAGCAAAAAGAACUUCUUAAUAAAUGGAAUGAAAUGGGAACUGAUGAGCCAGAUCUAACUCUCUUCCGACCUGUUUAUGCACCUAAAGAUUUUCUUGAGGUACUGAUGAAUCUUCGCAACCCAAAUUAUGAAAAUGGUGAUCAGCCUAGUUUCAGAAAUCAUCUGGGUCUAAUUCAGGUUCCUCUAAAAGUUAAAGACAUCCCUGAACUGAAAGACUAUUUCAGUGAGCUAGGCUUGAAUACAGGACAGCUGGGUAUUGAUGAUUCUACACAAGUGCCUCCAGAACUCUUUGAAAAUGAACAUGUACGUGUUGGGCAAACAGUUUUAACAGAACAAGAUAGUGCUGCAGCCCAACAGUAUGUCCGUCAGGGAUGCCCAACAGCACUCCGAGCUGAACUGUGGACACUCAUUCUGAAUAUUUCUAAUCAGCCUGAAGACAUUUUGUACUACGAACAGCUGAAGUCCAAUGUGAUUCAGCAUGAUCUUUUAGUGGACAGCCUGAUUUACAAAGAUGUAAAGCUGACAGCAAGCAAUGAUGACUACUAUUUUGUAUUUGAGGAUUAUUUAUAUCAGGUACUGCUCUGUUUUUCCCGAGAUACAUCAGUACUGGAGCACUUUUCUUACAAUAGCGCUACUCCACCCAAAUCAUACAUACGAGGAAAACUUGGCAUGGAAGAAUAUGCAGUUUUUUAUCCACCAAAUGGUGUAAUUCCUUUUCACGGCUUUUCAAUGUAUGUUGCUCCACUUUGUUUUCUGUACCAUGAACCUUCCAAAUUGUAUCAGAUAUUCCGUGAGAUGUAUGUGCGUUUUUUCUUCAGACUCCAUUCCAUCUCUUCUCAUCCUUCUGGCAUUGUGUCACUAUGUUUGCUGUUUGAGACACUUCUUCAAACCCAUCUCCCUCAGCUCUUCUAUCAUCUUCGAGAAAUUGGGGCGCAACCACUACGAAUAUCGUUUAAAUGGAUGGUACGAGCAUUCUCUGGUUACUUAGCUACAGACCAGCUUCUGCUUUUGUGGGACAGAAUCCUAGGAUACAAUUCUCUAGAAAUUCUCGCUGUCCUGGCAGCUGCUGUGUUUGCUUUCCGAGCAGUGAACCUGAUGGAGGUGACAUCACUGGCUGCAGCUGAAGCAGUACUUGCUGACCUUUCAACCUUGAAGGUUAUGCCUCUUCUUCAGAUCUUCCUGUUUGCUACUGUCACUUGAUCUGCUUCAAGGUCACUGACACCGCGCAUCCAGUCUUUCAUUAGAAACUAAUAAUGAACUAUGCAACGUCUGCAUAAAACCAAAUUAAACUGUAUGUAUAUGUCACUUACAGAUCAUGUUCUCUUUACAGUUAAGUGUAAGUUUUUCUACAUAUAGAAUAAGAACUUUACACUCUAACCUGUGCAUUUGCAUGCUGCUGUAUUUCAACAUAACAGCAAUAGAUAUAACUGAUGAGGUAUGAGAAUCAUUACUUGUGCAUAUUAAUAACACAAAUCAAUGUAUAAAAUGCAAUAAAACAAAGGUAAUGCAGUUAAAUUCUUGAUCUAAUAUGAGUGCCAUAACAGAUCCACUAAUAUCAGAUUGGAAAAAACUGUUUUUCAUCUGAUUAUUACUUAUUCAAGCCCCCACUACAAGACUGUCAACUCAAGAGUACAGUAACACUUGAAGACGUGCUUUAACUUUUGGGAACUUUUAUGUAUUUCCUAGGAGAAAUCAGAAAUGCUUCUGUUCAAUUUCUGUUUUCCAGGAGUCCUCUUCGUGUUCUUCACCAUUUUAUUUAUUUCUUUUUAAUCUAUUGAUCCCCCACAGCCUUUCUAGAUGUCUAUCACUAAGUAUCAAAGGAUGAGAGUUUGAAAAGUGCCUAAGAGAGUCUUGCCUUGCAAAAAGUACUGGAUAUAGCUUCCUCCAGAACUUGUCAAAGCCUGGCUUUAGCGUGGAUGCGUUAUGAAGAUGGCAGUUCUUUCUUAUCCCCUAUCCCACACACCCUUUUCAAGAUCUGUAUGUGUGUGGCCUCUGCUGGUCCAAGAGCUCAGGCUUCAAUUCAGCAUCCAGCUCAGAUCCCUGCAUGACUGUGUAUUGCACUGUAACUAGACCACCAGGUGGCCCAUCUUCUAUUGAUUAUAAUUUCUUUUUAUGGUUUUUUCCAGGGAUUCUGAAAUACUAAAGAGAAUCAUUAGGAUUAAUUUAUUACUUUAUUUUAAUACCUAAUAAAGGAUUAUAGUUAAAAUUGAGUGAAGUGUAUAACAUUGCAUACCCCAUGCAUUCACCGUAUCACUUUAUUUUGGAACAGUUUCUACUUUUCAAAUACAGUAUGGAUGUGUGUGGAACAUGACCCUCUGUAUUUUAAGAGAGAUCCAGCUUCCAUUUACACUAGACUGUUAUCUACAUUAUUAAUAUACAGCAUUAACAAUGCAAAUAUUAGCUUUAUAUAGACCCCAAAAAACAUACUUAUACCUUGCAUAUAAAUUGGGCAUGCUGAAUGUCUGACAGUAAGGCUAUGUCUACACAGCAAUGUGAGCCCGAGCUUAAGUCUCAUCCCCUUGCAUCCACACACUAAUUGUGUUAACCUAGGGCUCAAACCUAGUGUCCCAGGACUCUGCAGGGCUGGAGGGUCUGAGCCUAUGUUAAGCUGAGAUCUAGUGUCCGAACCCUAUUGCUUUCCUGUAUGCACAUAGCCUUGGUCUGACUCGAAUCCUGGAAGUCCUCUGGAUGUAUUCCAGAGAUCCUUAGGGCAACUUCCUUAGUCCUUUCUCUGCUGACAGUCUGUGGUGCAGUCUAGUGCAAACGGAAGCCACACCUCCCUUUGUCAGUUUGAGUACAUUGACACUUCCCUUAUGAUUAUGGCCAUGCAGUCAAUCUCAAAGCAAACAUCUAACAAAAGAGUUAAUUACAAUUAUAUGAAAUUACAUAGUUUAAAAUAGUAGUAUUGCAGAAGACUAGGACCUGGCAUGUGAAUUGAAAGCUGACGAUAUUUUUCAAUGGACACACAAUUUGUGCAAGACAAAGAGUGUGGCUAAUUUUUAUGCUUUGUAUUUUUUUUUAAAUAAAUAUGUUGGAUCUCUUUAUAUACCUACUGAUUAGGACACAAAUUAGAUUUUGGCAAGCAAGGGCUCAAUGAAAGCUCUGGGAUUUACUAAUGUCUCUAUAGUUAGUUUUAUCCAGCAGAUUUGGUGGUUCUUAGAAAGAAGUAUUUUGUACUUAUAUGGCACUUUUCAUCUGAAAAUCUGAAACCGGGAUUAGUUAUAGUUCCUAAGACCCCUUACUAAUGUUAAAUCAGUACAAAUGAACUAUAGAUAGCAGUGGUAUUUAAUUGUUUUCUAUCUGUACAGAAUUGUGUCCUAACUUUUUUGUAACUAGUGACAUGGUAUUUUCCUCUUUCUACUUUCUUUAGAUGCUUUUAGGUCCAAAAAAUAAAAAAAGUUGCCUUGAA